UUACACACCCUUGUACUUGUCAGACUGGAUACCUUCAAACACAGGGAGUGGCAGUGCUGGAAAGCAUUCUUCUAUUUAAACUCUUGCAGGGUUUAACUGUCACCUCUGUGUCGACUCAUCCUGUCUUCAAGGAACUUAUUCAUUCUCCUUUACCAGCUGACCUACACUGAGACAAAUGGAGUGUGAUGAGAUGACUGAGUUGCAGAUGAGCUUGUGCAUUCAGCAGAUUGUCUUCAAUAGCUAUGCCGACUCAGAAGACAACUGUAGGAUGAGCAAAACAGCCUUUGAAACCAUGCUGAAGGAGCAAAUCCCUAUGUUUGAAAAUGCUGACGAGGCUUUCAAAGCAGUGGACAGGGACGGCAAUGGGUCUGUGGAUUUCUGCGAGUUUGCCUGCCUGCUUUGCACAUGUGCCAUGCUCAACAAUGAAAUUUGUGAAAGCAUGAACAAAGCGUACAAGGAAAAGAAAGACAAAGGUGUCUGCUCGUAGCAGAAGUAGAAAGGCGACUGCAUGCAACAGCGUUGUCACUGAAGCGUGCCACGACACCUAAUUGUGAAACUAAAGAUGUAAUAAAGUACAGAUAUUUUUAAAUGAAAAAAUAAAGGUGCAUUCUAGCUCAA